CUACGGGUUGCUGCAGUGAGGAAUAUUGCACAAUGGGGGGAACCCUGAUGCAGCAACGCCGCGUGGAGGAUGACGCAUUUCGGUGUGUAAACUCCUUUUAUAUGUCAAGAAAAUGACGGUAGCAUAUGAAUAAGCACCGGCUAACUCCGUGCCAGCAGCCGCGGUAAUACGGAGGGUGCAAGCGUUACUCGGAAUCACUGGGCGUAAAGGACGCGUAGGCGGGUUGGAAAGUCAGGUGUGAAAUCCUACAGCUUAACUGUAGAACUGCACUUGAAACUUCUAAUCUAGGGUAUGGGAGGGGGGGAUGGAAUUAGUGGUGUAGGGGUAAAAUCCGUAGAUAUCACUAGGAAUACCUAAAGCGAAGGCGAUCUCCUGGAACAUUACUGACGCUAAGGCGUGAAAGCGUGGGGAGCAAACAGGAUUAGAUACCCUCGUAGUC
rnacentral:rRNA from 1 species